AGGUCUGCGGCUGAUUAGGUCGUUGGUGGGGUAAUGGCCCACCAAGCCGAUGAUCGGUACGGGUUGUGAGAGCAAGGGCCCGGAGAUGGAACCUGAGACAAGGUUCCAGACCCUACGGGGUGCAGCAGGCGCGAAACCUCCGCAAUGUACGAAAGUGCGACGGGGGGAUCCCAAGUGUUAUGCUUUUUUGUAUGACUUUUCAUUAGUGUAAAAAGCUUUUAGAAUAAGAGCUGGGCAAGACCGGUGCCAGCCGCCGCGGUAACACCGGCAGCUCGAGUGGUAGCUGUUUUUAUUGGGCCUAAAGCGUUCGUAGCCGGUUUGAUAAGUCUUUGGUGAAAGCUUGUAGCUUAACUAUAAGAAUUGCUGGAGAUACUAUUAGACUUGAAGUCGGGAGAGGUUAGAGGUACUACCGGGGUAGGGGUGAAAUCCUAUAAUCCUGGGAGGACCACCUGUGGCGAAGGCGUCUAACUGGAACGAUCUUGACGGUGAGUAACGAAAGCCAGGGGCGCGAACCGGAUUAGAUACCCGGGUAGUCCUGGCCGUAAACGAUGUGGACUUGGUGUUGGAAUGGCUUUGAGUUGUUUCGGUGCCGAAAGGGAAGCUGUUAAGUCCACCGCCUGGGAAG
rnacentral:rRNA from 1 species